rnacentral:lncRNA from 1 species
AUGUUAUCCUGCUUUAACUCCAGAAAUUUCACCUCUCAUACUAGCUGAGAGAUAGUUUUCAAAAAAUAAAGUCUUAAACCUAGCCCAAGUAACUACUCCUUCUCCUGCCCUAGUUUGAUUUGCCUCCCACCAAAAGUUAGCCUCCCUUUUCAUCAUAUAAGUGGCAAAAGCGGUCUUUUGCCCCUCAUCUACCCUGACAAUUGCGAACGCCUUUUCUAUCUCGUUAACCCAUGUCUGGGCUUCUAUAGGGUCAGCUGAUCCCCUAAAUUCUGGUGGUCUUACUACUUUGAAGUCUUUAAAUUUUGCCAAGCGAUUAUCUGGCUGGUUCCCUGUGGCUGGUAUUCCCUACUUCAUAGCCUGAGCUACCAUGUUUGCAAAGUUUUGCAUCGGGUCUUGUUGUUGUCCCUCGGCGUUGUUGAUAGAUUCUUCUACCCUUUGGUUUCGAGUUUGACGUCUUGGCGGCAUUAUCUGGUUAAGUAAAACCAUAAAUUAUACUUUAUUAACUUACAUUCAAAACCUUAUUGCAUAAGUUUAAUAUAUUAAACUUGUUUCAUUUCUCAAACUUAGAUUCAUAUCCAUUCAUCGAAUAGUUUACAUAGCAUAACACAUACUGCUUUAAACAUCAUCUAUCCCUUUGUGACUACAAAAGUCGGGAUUUAUAGCCUUGAUCAAUACAAAAGUUGAGAAUAUUACAUUACACAGAUAUACUUAGAUAUUACAUUAAACAUACCUACUCAACAGAACAUAUACUACCUAUUUACUACACCUUUUCCUUAGACAACCUUUCUCCUGAUGAUCUUCUAUCCCACAGAUAAAACAUGCUCCUGGUUUAUAGUUAGGACAAUACAGAGUGGUAUGUCCCUUAUAACUGCAAAGAUAACAUAUUCUUUUCCCUUUCUUUUUAUCGAGUUUUCCUAUGUCAUGGUCUUCUAUCUUUCUUUUUCCCUUCUUGCUCGGAGCUGCACACGAUGUGUUUCUUGAG